rnacentral:rRNA from 1 species
GAUUAAGUUAUUAAGGGCGCACGGUGGAUGCCUUGGCACUAGAAGCCGAUGAAGGACGUUACUAACGACGAUAUGCUUUGGGUAGCUGUAAGUAAGCGUUGAUCCAGAGAUUUCCGAAUGGGGAAACCCAGCAUGAGUUAUGUCAUGUUAUCGAUAUGUGAAUACAUAGCAUAUCAGAAGGCACACCCGGAGAACUGAAACAUCUUAGUACCCGGAGGAAGAGAAAGAAAAAUCGAUUCCCUGAGUAGCGGCGAGCGAAACGGGAAGAGCCCAAACCAACAAGCUUGCUUGUUGGGGUUGUAGGACACUCUGUACGGAGUUACAAAGGACGAUAUUAGACGAAUCAUCUGGAAAGAUGAAUCAAAGAAGGUAACAAUCCUGUAGUUGAAAAUAUUGUCUCUCUUGAGUGGAUCCUGAGUACGACGGAGCACGUGAAAUUCCGUCGGAAUCUGGGAGGACCAUCUCCCAAGGCUAAAUACUCUCUAGUGACCGAUAGUGAACCAGUACCGUGAGGGAAAGGUGAAAAGCACCCCGGAAGGGGAGUGAAAUAGAACCUGAAACCGUGUGCUUACAAGUAGUCAGAGCCCGUUAAUGGGUGAUGGCGUGCCUUUUGUAGAAUGAACCGGCGAGUUACGAUUUGAUGCAAGGUUAAGCAGUAAAUGUGGAGCCGUAGCGAAAGCGAGUCUGAAUAGGGCGUUUAGUAUUUGGUCGUAGACCCGAAACCAGGUGAUCUACCCUUGGUCAGGUUGAAGUUCAGGUAACACUGAAUGGAGGACCGAACCGACUUACGUUGAAAAGUGAGCGGAUGAACUGAGGGUAGCGGAGAAAUUCCAAUCGAACCUGGAGAUAGCUGGUUCUCUCCGAAAUAGCUUUAGGGCUAGCCUCAAGUGAUGAUUAUUGGAGGUAGAGCACUGUUUGGACGAGGGGCCCUUCUCGGGUUACCGAAUUCAGACAAACUCCGAAUGCCAAUUAAUUUAACUUGGGAGUCAGAACAUGGGUGAUAAGGUCCGUGUUCGAAAGGGAAACAGCCCAGACCACCAGCUAAGGUCCCAAAAUAUAUGUUAAGUGGA